rnacentral:rRNA from 1 species
UUGAACGCUGGCGGCAGGCCUCACACAUGCAAGUCGAACGGUAACAGGAAGAAGCUUGCUUCUUUGCUGAUGAGUGGCGGACGGGUGAGUAAUGUCUGGGAAACUGCCUGAUGGAGGGGGAUAACUACUGGAAACGGUAGCUAAUACCGCAUAACGUCGCAAGACCAAAGAGGGGGACCUUCGGGCCUCUUGCCAUCGGAUGUGCCCAGAUGGGAUUAGCUAGUAGGUGGGGUAACGGCUCACCUAGGCGACGAUCCCUAGCUGGUCUGAGAGGAUGACCAGCCACACUGGAACUGAGACACGGUCCAGACUCCUACGGGAGGCAGCAGUGGGGAAUAUUGCACAAUGGGCGCAAGCCUGAUGCAGCCAUGCCGCGUGUAUGAAGAAGGCCUUCGGGUUGUAAAGUACUUUCAGCGGGGAGGAAGGGAGUAAAGUUAAUACCUUUACUCAUUGACGUUACCCGCAGAAGAAGCACCGGCUAACUCCGUG